rnacentral:misc_RNA from 1 species
GAUGAAGAACGUAGCGAAAUGCGAUAAGUAAUGUGAAUUGCAGAAUUCAGUGAAUCAUCGAAUCUUUGAACGCACAUUGCACCCGCCAGUAUUCUGGCGGGCAUGCCUGUUCGAGCGUCAUUUCAACCAUCAAGCCCUGUGCUUGUGUUGGGGGCCUGCGGCUGCCGCAGCCCCCUAAAAGCAGUGGCGGGCUCGCUGUCAUUCCGAGCGCAGUAACUUAUCUCGCUUUGGUCGUGGCGGUGGGCACCUGCCGUAAAACACUCUUUUUCACAAGGUUGACCUCGGAUCAGGUAGGAAUACCCGCUGAACUUAAGCAUAUCAAUAAGCGGAGGA